rnacentral:rRNA from 1 species
CAUCGCCUAAUGCUUGUAUAUUAGGUACCGCCUGCCCAAUGAUUUCAAUGGCCGCAGUACCCUAACUGUGCAAAGGUAGCAUAAUCAUUUGUCUUUUAAUUAAAGGCUGGUAUGAAUGGUAGCACGGAGUAAUAGCUGUACCAAAAGUAUAACAUUAAUUUAAUCUUUAAGUUAAAAAGCUUAAAUGUACUCGCAGGACGAGAAGACCCCGUAGAGCUUGAUAGGACCAAUUUUAUUAAAUAUAGAAUUAUCCCAAAAUUUAAUUUUUUCCUAUUUGGUUGGGGCGACUAGAGGUUUAAUAACACCUCUUUACAAAACUUAAAUCAGUGGAUUACUGACCCGCAAGGCGAUUAAAAGAUAAAGCUACCUCGGGGAUAACAGCGUAAUCUAAUUUUAGAGUUCUUAUCAAAACUUAGGAUUGCGACCUCGAUGUUGGAUUAAGAUACAAAUAAAAUGCAGUAGUUUUAUAUUGGGGUCUGUUCGACCUUUAAAUCUUACU